rnacentral:lncRNA from 1 species
AUCAUUAUUACAUUUGAUUCUAUUCGAUGAUUCCAUUCGAUUCCAUUUGAUGAGGAUUCCAUUCGAGACCAUUUGAUGAUUGCAUUCAAUUCCAUUGGAUGAUUCCAAUAUUUUCCAUUACAUGAUGAUUCCAUUCGAUUCCAUUCAAUGAUGAUUCCAUCAGAAUCCAUUCGAUGAUGACUCCUUUUGCUUCCAUUCAAUGAUCAUUACAUUCGGUUAUAUUCGAUGAUGAUUCCUUUGCAUUCCAUUCGAUGAUGCUUCCAUUCGAUUCCAUUUGAUGAUGAUUCUUUUCGAUUCCAUUUGAUGAUGAUUCCAUUUGAUUCCAUUCGAUGGUGAUUCCAUUUGAUGAUUCCAUUCGAUUGUAUUCGAUGAUGAUUCCACUCGAUUCUAUUUGAUGAUGACUGCAUUCGAUUCUAUUUGAUGAUUCCAUUUGAUUCCAUUCGAUGAUGAUUCUGAUCAAUUGCAUUCGAUGAUCCAUUCGAUUCCAUUUGAUGGUUCCAUUUGAUUCCAUUUGAUAAUGAUUCCUUUCGAGUCCAUUCGAUGGUUCCAUUUGCAGAGAUUCGGUAAUUCCAUUUGAGUCCAAUCGAUGAUUCCAUUCGAGACCAUUCAAUCAUUCUUUUUGAGUCCUUUCGAUAAAGAUUCCAUUUUCGUCCAUUCAAUAAUUCCACUGGAGUCCAUUCGAUGAUUGCUUUUAAUUCCAUUCGAUGAUAUUCCAUUCGAGUCCAUUCGAUGAUUCCAUUCGUUGCUAUUAGAUGAUGAUUCCAUUCAUGACCAUUUGGUGAUUCCAUUCGAUUUCAUUCGUUGAUGAUUCCAUUCGAGUCCAUUCCAUGAUUCCAUUCAAGUCCAUUUGAUGAUUUCUUUGAAUUCAAUUCGAUGAUGAUUCCAUUCGAGUCCAUUCGAUGAUUCCAUUCAGUUCCAUUCGAUGAUGAUUCCAUUCGUGUCCAUAUGAUGAUUCCAUUUGAUUUCAUUCGAUGAUGAUUCCAUUCGAUUCCAUUCGAUGAUUCCAUUCUAUUCCAUUUGAUGAUGAUUGCAUUCGAGUCCAUUCGAAGAUUCCAUUCGAGUCCAUUUAAUGAUUCCAUUGGGUUCAAUUCAAUGAUGAUUACAUUGGAUUCCGUUCUAUGAUUCCAUUCCAUUCCGUUCAUUGACAAUUUGAUUCCAUUCGAUGAUGAUUCCAUUUGAGUUCAUUCGAUGAUUCUAUUCGAUUCUCUUCGAUGGUGAUUCCAUUCUAUUACAUUGGAUGAUUCCAUUCGAUUCCAUUUGAUGUUGAUUCAAUUCGAUUCUAUUCGAUGAUGAUUCCAUUGGAUUUCAUUUGAUGAUUCUAUUCGAUUCCAUUCAAUGAUGAUUCACUUCUCGUCCAUUGGAUGAUUCCAUUUCAUUCCAUUCGAUGAUGAUUCCAUUCGAUUCCAUUCGAUGAUUCCAUUUGAUUCCAUUCGACGGUGAGCAAUUCGAUUCAAUUCCAUGAUGAUUCUAUUUGAUUCAAUUAGAUGAUGUUUCCAUUCGAAUCCAUUCCAUGAUUAUUCCAUUGGAAUCCAUUCGGCGAUGAUUCCAUAUGAGUCAAUUCAAUGAUGAUUCCAUAUGGCUCCGUUCGAUGAUAAUUCCAUUUGAUUUCAUUCGAUGCUUCUAUUCUAUUCCAGUCGAUGAUGAUUCCGUUGGAGUCCAUACGAUGAUUCCAUUUGAUUUCAUUUGAUGAUGAUUCCAUUCGAU